GUGGAGGUACGAGCCAAAACAUUUAGUGGAAACAGGGAGCAAGCCAGGACGUGGCUGCAACUAACAGCAAAGUCACAGUUUAGUGAAGCCUUAGCCAGGCACAACAUGGAGAGGAGGAGCUAAAGAAGAGGAAAUUCUGCAGUGAUUUCUUCAGAGACUUCCAGAGAGCCAUGCUUCACAGGCCAUUUGUAUAGCGGACCAACAUUUCAAAAUCAGUUGACUGCCACUGUAAGAACAGCUCGUCGACAGCUUAUAGUCAGAUUAGACUGGAUGCAGACCUCUGAAUCUAGCCACUCCAGCGAGUUGACUGAUUUGUCUGGCAUGUGACACGAAACAGCUGUUUCUCAGUUUAAAAAGCAAAUGGCUCAGCGACUGCUCUGGCACUAAAGAUUAGCCAAUCAGAGCCAUGGGCAGGACUAACACUGUUGUCAAGCUGUGCGCCAAGAGAGAUAACAAAAGAAAAAAAGAAGACAGCAUAGUUUACUUUUUCAUUCUCCUAACACGAAGACAAAACCAGUAUGUUGGCAAGGCUUAAAAUGACAUUGGGACGGAUUCGAGGGGGAUACGUUGGUCUACAGUGAUUGUUUAAAAGAAAUCAAAUCCCCUCCCCUGCAGAAAUCAGAGUCAAGGCAAUGUCAGAUUAUAGAUUGAAUCAGAGUGUAAUAAGUCUGAUAUCAGGCGGGAAAGAAGGAGAAGAAAAAAAUCUGCUGGCACAACUAGACAUAACACGAUGCAACAACCACAACAAUUUAAUUAUGUCAACAUUUUUUCGGCCUUUUUAAGGAAUAUCUCAAUUCAUUUAAAUGGCUGCUGCUGAGGAGAAAAGUAAAAAUGCACAAUGAGUAUGAAAAGGAAAUGAAUCAGGUAGAAAAGGUAAUGAAUGCCAAGCAAGAGACGAAUCAGGUUCUUAACGCACUAAGACUCCCCUCUGCAAAACAAACAAACAGAGUAUUAACUAAUAAAUAUCUUAUUUUUCAGGAAAUCUCACAAUAUUUUGCAGAUAUUGUUUAAGCCAGUCAAAGAUGCCAAGGCUGAGAUACCAAACAUGCCAUCCUGAAUCAUAGUUUUCCCUAUGACUCAGGUUGGCAUGCUCCUACAAAAUGCAAUAAGGUAGCCCGUGCAUCUUUGUUUUAAAUAUUUCAGUCAGUAUGAAGGUUCUUGGAAUAACCUACGGUAACAUUUAGUGUAUUAUAAAGAAGCAUGUGGGUUCAGACUGGUUCUCUUUAGACAUAUGAACCACUAGGGAAUUAUGGUCACUGGGUAUGAAGGUAAAACAACAGGAUAGACUUUCACUUGAUAAAGAAGCCUGGUGAUGGGAGAAAAAUUUCUGAGCUCUGUGCAUUAUUUCUCCAACUUUAGGAUGUUGUCACUGAGGGGAAAAUAGUCUUCAAGGCAACAGUCUCACAGCAUCUGUGCUAAUAGCUGCAGGACAGCUAAAGAGAGACGAACUGUCUAUACAGGAUACAAAACAGGCUACAAAAGUAUAAAAACUGAAGUCAGUAGCAAGACACCCACCAUCAACAGCAAGGCGCCAAAACAGCCACCCACAUUUAAAGCUGGUAAACUGGCAGGACACCAACAUGACACUGUAGCAAGAUGCCAGGACACCCACUUUUAAGCAGUAAGACAGUAGGACAUUCAUGUUUAGUAACAAUGCAGCCACGGAUUUGUAUUACUGUACUGACAAAGGACAGGAUAUUUUAAAAUCAUGCACAAUUCAAGCCAAUAAGGAGAACCUUAGUUAUUGUAGUCCAGCUUUGUUCACUCCGGUGCUUUGUUUUGUUCCAGCAAGACCUCCCAGAGCAGAGCCUUGGCCUUAAACCAUGGUGAUGCUGCCACUGGAGAGGAGCAUUUGUGGGGGGAUUGUGCCUCGGUUUAUUGCGAUUCUGCGGGGUUGUUAGCCAGAGAGCUGCUUACCCCGCAUCCUCAGAGUGAAGGGAGAGGGAAAA